rnacentral:rRNA from 1 species
GUGGGGAAUCUUGCGCAAUGGGCGAAAGCCUGACGCAGCCAUGCCGCGUGAAUGAUGAAGGUCUUAGGAUUGUAAAAUUCUUUCACCGGGGACGAUAAUGACGGUACCCGGAGAAGAAGCUCCGGCUAACUUCGUGCCAGCAGCCGCGGUAAUACGAAGGGGGCUAGCGUUGCUCGGAAUUACUGGGCGUAAAGGGCGCGUAGGCGGACAGCUUAGUCAGAGGUGAAAGCCCAGGGCUCAACCUUGGAAUUGCCUUUGAUACUGGCUGUCUUGAGUUUGGGAGAGGUGAGUGGAACUCCGAGUGUAGAGGUGAAAUUCGUAGAUAUUCGGAAGAACACCAGUGGCGAAGGCGACUCACUGGCCCAAUACUGACGCUGAGGCGCGAAAGCGUGGGGAGCAAACAGGAUUAGAUAGCCUUGUAGUCC